rnacentral:rRNA from 1 species
GACGAACGCUGGCGGCGUGCUUAACACAUGCAAGUCGAACGGUGAAGGUGGAGCUUGCUCCGCCGGAUCAGUGGCGAACGGGUGAGUAACACGUGGGCAACCUGCCCCAGACUUCGGGAUAACUCCUCGAAAGAGGCGCUAAUACCGGAUACGAGUUCUGCAGGCAUCUGCGGAAUUGGAAAGUUUUUCGGUCUGGGAUGGGCCCGCGGCCUAUCAGCUUGUUGGUGAGGUAACGGCUCACCAAGGCGACGACGGGUAGCCGGCCUGAGAGGGCGACCGGCCACACUGGGACUGAGACGCGGCCCAGACGCCUACGGGCGGCAGAGGGGGGGAAUAUUGCGCAAUGGGCGCAAGCCUGACGCAGCAACGCAGGGGGCGGGAUGAAGGCCUUCGGGUUGUAAACCGCUUUCAGCAGGGAAGAAGCGAAAGUGACGGUACCUGCAGAAGAAGCACCGGCUAACUACGUGCCAGCCGCCGCAGUAA